CUUGAAUCUGGGAGACGGAGGUUGCAGUGAGCCGAGAUGGUGCCACUGCACUCCAGCCUGAAUGACAGAGCGAGACUCUGUCUCAAAAAUAAAAUAAAAAAAUAACGUGGGGUACUUGAUGCCUUUGUCUGUAGCUUGGCCUCAGGCACCAUUUCUGGGGCAACAGAAAACUUCAUUCCAUGCCUCAUCCUGGUAUGCAUGCAAAAAUGUUCAUUGCCCCAUUAUCUGCAACCAUGAAAAACUGGAAACGACCCUCAGGCCUAACAGUAGGGGAGGGUUAUAAACUUUGCAAGAGCAGGAACAACAUCUGCCUUGUUCAUUGUUAGGUCUGCAGUGCCCAGCGUGGUGCCCUGCACACAGUAGGUGCUCAGGAAACAUCUGUGGAAGGAAGAGAAUAAAGGAGGGAGGAAGGAAAGGAGGGGGAAAAAAGGAAGAAGAAACUUUGAAAGUUCUUCCGGAAUCCCAGAAAGCAAACCCUUCCCUGCUUCCGCCGCACUGGAGAAGAUGCACCUUUUGGGGGGCUGUGACUGUUCAUUUUUAAAACUUCCAUCCAAUGCCCCCAAAACUUAAUUCCAUUUUGAGUGUUUUUCUUUUUUCAUUUUCAUCCUCCACUGUUUUUUUAACGCUCACUGUUGAAUUUCUCGUUUGGAGAGGCUGAUUGAAUUGUGGCUCAGGGGACUUGAGACAGUCACUUCAGACAUUUAGAGUUCCAAUCACGCUGUCGCCACCCCAGUCCCCCACCCUUGGCACCAGGGAAACUAUCUCUUAUGAGAGCUGAUUAUCUUUACAGCCUAGAACAUCACACUCUAAAACACAGGCUGUGCAAAUCAGAAUUCUCCGUGACUAAUGUACAUCCAGUGAAAAUAUCAAAAUGCCCAUUUAACAGGAGAGGGCUGAUUGGAAAAGCCCACCUGAUCUGCUGGUGAAGUUCCGUGGCUGAUGUCAUUUGAGAGUCACCGGGUCCAGGCCUGGGGAAGGCUGUGAGAUCACCUGUCUGGGGGCUACUCUGUCUCAUCCCUCAGGGCCCAGUCAGUGCCCACGGUCCUCCCUCCAGAGAGAGUGGCAGGCAGGGGAGGCCAGCGGACGGGGAGGCAGGCACAUCAAGUGAGCACCUACUGUGUGCUGGGCACUGUGCCAGGAAGGACCUCAUGCAGUCUGAGAACAACCUUGCCAGGUGAGAUUUAUUUAUCACCCUUUUGCAGAGGGAGCUUCCUAUGGGAUCUCAAAGGAUAAAGAGGAGUUAGUCGGGGGAAGUGGAGAGGCCUGGAAAGGCAUUCCAUGAAGAGGAGACGUCAUUGCAAAGAAACUCAGAAGACCUGGCAACAGAGGCUGGAAAUUUCUCAAAGCAACCAUCACCGAGGAUUGGCUGUCCCUUAGACAGGGGCACGCACUCUCCUGUUCACCACAGCCCCACCCUUGUCUAUUGGCUCCCAGAACCACAGGCAGGAGAGUGAGGCUGGUGAGACCCCCACAUAGCUGGGUCACCAGACUGGUCAGCGACAGAGCCGGGAUUCUAGCUCAGGCCCCUCUGCUUCCAAUGCCACCUGCUAUGCUGCCUCCCAGGUCUGGUGACUGUGUGUCAUGGUUCAUCUGGAGUUCACAAGCAGGCCAAGGGUGGCUCCAGGCCUUUCUUGCACAGGCAUUGAACGCGACCCUCCGACCUCUCUAUUGUUACAUCUUUUCCCCUGCUGAGACCUCAUCAGCCUCCGAUCUUGGCUGAGAUAUCAUGUCCUCCCACAAACCCUCCUGAGCCAGGAACCCUCUUCCCAGUGGGACUCACUACAGAGAGGACCCAGCCUGUGGUGAUGAUGAUGAAGAAGUGGAUGGCUACGGCCUUUCUAAUUUUCCCACCAAACUGUGAGCUUCCAGACAGCUGGCAUAGAAGUACCCAAAACAUGUUUGUAGAAUGAAUGAAUGGCCUUCACAAGCUAAGGAACCCAUGGCUUCUUCACUGUCACUGAUUAGCAGUGGGCCCUGGAGCUUCUCUGAGCCUUGGGCUUCACAUCCAGCACAUGGGGCUCACGAGACCUGUGCUUCCUGUGUCUGCCCCACUGAGCUCUCUCCACCCUGCUGCGGGCUUAUAGGCCCCCAGCUCACAGCUAGAGUGGGUUGAAUAAUGUCCCCCAAAAUUCACACCCACCCGAACCCUCAGAAUGGGACCUUAUUUGGAAAUGGAGUCUUUGCAGAUGUAACUAAGGUGAGGAUCACAAUGAGAUCAUAUUAGAUUAGAGUGAGCUCCAAAUGCAAUGACAGGCAUCCUUGUAAGAGACAGAAAAGGACACAGAGAAGGCCAUGUGGAGGUGGAGGCAGAGUUUGGGACGAUGCAGCAGCCAGCCAAGGAGCACCCAAGAAUGCUGGGAGCUACCAGAAGCCACAAGGGCCAAAGAGGAUCCUCCUCCACCAGACGCUCUGCUGAUACCUAGAUUUUGGACUUCUGAUCCCUUGAACUGUGAGAAAAUACAUUUGCUGUUUUAACUGAAGUUGGUGUGUCCACAUUACAGGCUGCUGAGGUGGCCUGGCCACACACCUGCCUGGUGUCGUCCCUACUUGGAGCAGUGAGGUUUGACUCCACAGGAUCACAGCUGCUGCAAAGCUGUCUUCACAUCACUGAGGGAAAUGGAAGGCAACCUUAGAAGUUUCAUCUCUAUCCUCUCCUGGCCCCAAAUUAUUGCCUGAGAACCUAAUUUCCUUUCUCCCUUUCUUCCUGUUUUCUGUCCCUUCUUUCCUUCCUCCUUCCCUUUCCUCCCGUCCUUUCCUGCCUGCCUGCAAUUGCCUUAGUCUCAUGCCCUCCAUCCCAUCUAGCUCCAGCCUCCCUCUUCAGUUCUACCUCCCACCCACUCCAAGCAAGCCCCUUCCCCCAGCCAACUCCUCCCAAGGCAGCCCCUGGCCUCCCUGCCGUGUCUCCCUCAGCAGGUUCCCUUGGUCUAUGGUGCUCCGCCUCACAGGCAUACGUGGAAAAUCUGCUCCUUCACGUGCAAGCUCAGAUCCCACCUCCUCCUGGCACACCCUGGCGACAGUACUUCCCUCUGACUUUCCACCACACCGGUGUUCACAUAAAUGUCUUCGUACCUGAUCUGUGCCAGGUGGACCUAGGGGCCAGGAAGUACAGUGACCUCGCCAUCUGGUAAGGGAGUGGGAAAUGAUGAAGAGACAGCGUUGACAGGUGGGCAGCAGAGGAGGAAGCAGCAGCUUUUGCAGGACAGGGAGGGCUGUGUCCAGGAGGGAAGGGCCACAGGGACAGAGCACAUGCUCCAAGAGACAGGGAAGUCUGGGUAACAGGAUUUGGGGUUCAAAGGGAAAUGAAAAUGGGGGCCAGGUCAUGAGGUCAAGUUAGCCAUUCUGAGGACUUGAUCCUGUCGACGUUGAGUGUUCUGAGUGUGGGCUCCAGCCCACCUACAUCAGAAUUACCUCAGGAGUUUGUGAAAAUGCAAUUUUUUUUUGAGACAGAGUCUCACUCUGUUGCCCAGGCUGGAGUACAGUGGUGCAAUCUCAGCUCACUGCAACCCCUGCUUCCCGGGUUCAAGCAAUCCUCCUGCCUCAGCCUCCCGAGUAGCUGGGAUUACAGGCAUGUGCCCCCACGCCCGGCUAAUUUUUGUAUUUUCAGUAGAGACGAGGUUUCACCAUGUUGGCCAGGGUGGUCUCCAACUCCUGGCCUCAAGCGAUCCACCUGCCUCAGCCUCCCAAAGUGCUAGGAUUACAGGUGUGAGCCAUCGCACACCCAGCAGUGAAAAUGCAAUUCUUGAGUCUCCACCCAGCUCGGGAUUUUUCACAAGCUCCUUGGAUAAUGGUGACGCACCUUUAGUCUGCCCAGAACAGGAGAGGAUGGAGGCAGACUGAGGGAUUCGAAAGGACCAAGUGUCACGAUCAGAUCCACUUUUUGGAAGAAACUGGUAGCACCAACUACAUACGUGUCUUAUGUUCUUGGUUCUGCCUCCAUGGUGCACACUGUCGGUGCCACCUACUCAGCAACUAUCCCUCCUUCUUCCUUGUUAACAGAAGCCCAAUUCUAUUCAGCAUCAAGUAAGUGGACAUUAAUAUAUUCAGGGAAGGGAGGCUCCACCCCUAGCCCUACAGGAGAGCCCUAUUUGUCCCUUUUGUCCCGUACAAACAUUCCAGACUCCCUUGCAGCAAGAAGUGGCAAUGUGACAGUUAUGGUCCAUGAGGCAUAAGGGACAAGUUGUAAGAUGACUCUGGGGAAACCUGGCCUGUUAACAUGGGCUCAGGUGAAGGAAAAGCUGGCGGGUGCUGGGCCUGCUGCUUCUUGACACUGCGCAUGUGAGGAAGGGCCAUCUCACAACCAAGAGACAGCAAGACUUCCAGCCAGGUGUGGUGGCUCACUCCUAUAAACCCAGCACCUUGGGAGGCUGAGGUGGGAGCAUCGCUUGAGCCCAGGAGUCCAAGAUCAGCCUAGGCAACAUCGUGAGACUCCCUCUCUACAGAAAAUUUAAAAAUUAGCUGGGAGUAGCGGCGUGUGCCAGCUACUCAGGAGGCUGAGGUGGGAGGAUUGCUUGAGCCCAGAAGUUUGAGGCUGCAGUAAGCCAUGAUUACAGCACUGUACCCAAGCCUGGGUGACAAAGUGAGACCCUGUCUCAAAAAAAAAAAAAAGAAAAGAAAAAGCCUCUAUGUGUGCAGGGUGCCAGAGCAGAAGGAUGCAAAGAACCUGGUUCUUGAGGACAUGGUUCAGCCACUACCCCAAAUCCAGAACCACCCCCUCGCCCCACCACCAAGAUUUCUUGUCCUGAGAUUGUUAGACUGUAACCACCUUGAGGGCAGGGACUCUGAUACCUGUACUCCUGGCACCUUGAACAGUACUUAGCACACAGUAGGUGCUCAAUAAAUAUCUGUUGACUAAGUUUUCAUAAAUAAGUAAAUGUCUCCAUUGCUUAUACCAGUGGGUUGAGGCUUCUGUUGCUUGUAGCCAAGGAAUCCUGACUCAGUAACUUCUCUCUCUGGCCCCAAGAACCUCCUGAGAACAGGAGAGGGGCUGGGUAUUACUGAACACUGUACUCCACAGGCCCUGGCACAAGACCCACACUCGGUAGAAAUAAGCAGCUCUUGCUCAGAGGAGUCACAGACCCUGCCCUGGACCUGGCUUCUGGGUUCACCAGAGCUGGAGGGUUGAGUCUGCAAGUUCCCCUCACACAGACCUAGGGCAAGACGCCCUGUAACAGCUGAUGAGAGGAGCUUAAGAAAGUCCACUGGGGGCCGGGCGCGGUGGCUCACGCCUGUAAUCCCAGCACUUUGGGAGGCCGAGGUGGGCGGAUCAUGAGGUCAGGAGAUCGAGACCAUCCUGACUAACAUAGUGAAACCCUAUCUCUAUUAAAAAUAGAAAAAAUUAGCCAGGCAUGGUGGUGGGCGCCUGUUGUCCCAGCUACUCAGGAGGCUGAGGCAGAAGAAUGGCGUGAAUCCGGGAGGAGAGCUUUCAGUGAGCCGAGAUCGCGCCACUGCACUCCAGCCUGGGCGACAGAGCAAGACUCCAUCUCCAAAAAAAAAAAAGAAAGUCCACUAGGUCUCCCACACCAGCGAUACCCAGAGGCCACACCAGCUGCAGGCUGAGCGGGUGGAAGCUGGCAGCAAGCACUGCCACUAGAUUUGUCUUGAGGUGAAAGAACUUCUGAGACUAGCCAGAUCCAACCUCCACACAAGUCAGGAAUUUUUAAGCCACUGUCUUCAAGUCCCUCCCAGUUCUAAGUGUGGCAGCCCUGGGAUGCCGCAAUGAGGGAUGAGGGACAGGGCAUGAGCCGCUCAA
rnacentral:lncRNA from 1 species